CCUACGGGUGGCAGCAGUGAGGAAUAUUGGUCAAUGGGCGCGAGCCUGAACCAGCCAAGUAGCGUGAAGGAUGACUGCCCUACGGGUUGUAAACUUCUUUUAUAAAGGAAUAAAGUGAGGCACGUGUGCCUCUUUGUAUGUUCUUUAUGAAUAAGGCUCGGCUAACUACGUGCCAGCAGCCGCGGUAAUACGGAGGAUCCGAGCGUUAUCCGGAUUUAUUGGGUUUAAAGGGAGCGUAGAGGGGUUGUUAAGUCAGUUGUGAAAGUUUGCGGCUCAACCGUAAAAUUGCAAUUGAAACUGGCAGUCUUGAGUACAGUUGAGGUAGGCGGAAUGCGUGGUGUAGCGGUGAAAUGCUUAGAUAUCACGAAGAACUCCGAUUGCGAAGGCAGCUUACUAAACUGCCACUGACAUUGAUGCACGAAAGUGUGGGUAUCAAACAGGAUUAGAUACCCGGGUAGUC
rnacentral:rRNA from 1 species